rnacentral:rRNA from 1 species
AGUGAACGCUGGCGGUAGGCCUAACACAUGCAAGUCGAACGGCAGCACAGUAAGAGCUUGCUCUUACGGGUGGCGAGUGGCGGACGGGUGAGGAAUACAUCGGAAUCUACUUUUUCGUGGGGGAUAACGUAGGGAAACUUACGCUAAUACCGCAUACGACCUACGGGUGAAAGCAGGGGAUCUUCGGACCUUGCGCGAUUGAAUGAGCCGAUGUCGGAUUAGCUAGUUGGCGGGGUAAAGGCCCACCAAGGCGACGAUCCGUAGCUGGUCUGAGAGGAUGAUCAGCCACACUGGAACUGAGACACGGUCCAGACUCCUACGGGAGGCAGCAGUGGGGAAUAUUGGACAAUGGGCGCAAGCCUGAUCCAGCCAUACCGCGUGGGUGAAGAAGGCCUUCGGGUUGUAAAGCCCUUUUGUUGGGAUAGAAAAGCAGCAGGUUAAUACCCCGCUGUUCUGACGGUACCCAAAGAAUAAGCACCGGCUAACUUC